UUUUUUUAUUUCUUUCGACCAGGUCACGGAUACACGAAAGAAAAGUUGUAGAGCUUUUCCUCAAGUAAUUACUUCAUUAGCAUACUGCGACAAGUAUUGGGUCCUUCGGGGUUUUUGAAGAGGCAAAAUCUUUCAACUGGUGGAGAUUUCCGAGUAAAAGAGGGUCGACAGAGGAAAAUUCCACGUACAGAAGCUUCGUACAAGGACGUUCAGCUUUUCAGGCAGAUAGUUUUUUAAGCUUCUUUUUGCAGCUUGUUUUGCUCAACGUACGUAAACGCCAAAGUUAAAGAGGCGGCGGACCAUGGCAAUUAUGCGUUCGACCAACGAAAAACGAUUAGCUCGCACGGAUGUGCAGGUGGUCGGUGGACGAAGUAGCAGCAAUUCUCCGAAGCGAAAUAGAAAUAUUCCAGCGUUUCAAUUUAAAGCUAGACAACAGAUGUUGCAAGAGACACGCGAUACAUCCAUAAAGCGCAGCUCCAAGUGGCAUAAAAAUAACAUAGCGCGGGGAUUCGCGGUUUCAGCCGCGUCGAAUUUCUCAAGCAGAAGCGCCAUUACCAGCGGCCCCCAUAAAAUAAGCUGCGGGAUCGCGGCUCCGUACGACCAAACCUCGUGGCAGCUCUAACCGAACAACCAGUUUAACCCAAGAGAAGGCAGACUCGCAUUGUCUCCGUGCUCUCGUUCCGGCCGUUUUCCAUCGUCCACGCACGGCUUUUGUCGACAGAUCUGCGUAGGGGUGGAACGCGUAAAAAUACGACGAACAGGGGGAGGGGGCAGGCAUUGUUCCAAAAGUUAGCCUCGCCGCGUGCAGCAUGCACGAAAUCCGCAAAGAUGCAGACCACCCAGGUCGUCUGACGCCUCUGCCUUAUCCUCAACGGAAUUGACUUAGCGGAAUCCGGGGCGAGGGACGUAAGGACAGGGGACAACGAAAAUGGAAAGAAAGAGAGGAGAAGGAGAGGGAUAGGAAAGAGAGAGGGUCGGCUCGUAUGAUCACGACUCCCCACGUUGGCCAUUGCAAAGCGAAUGUGGGGCGCCUGCUCGCUUUGCCAUUCGCUACGUUUUGCUGGCUUCUUGAAAAACUACCUCGGCAUCUAUUUACCGUCGGAUGAUAACCGGCACGGUCCUUGGGAAUAAAGGAAUUCGAGUGAGAGAUAAGCAGCGGACAAGCACGAGACCCGAUGUCUUAGUUUUGGGAACUCGAGAAGCGACGAGUGUACGUUGCAACAGGUUAAACCUAACCUUGCUGAUAUUAUCGAUUUGUCGAUUUUUUAGGAAUUUGUAUAAAGUUAGAUUUUAGAAGGAAAGAGGCGACGAUGAGUGUGCAAUUUUGAGUGAAAUUUGCUAACUGGUCGUUUGCUUGCUACCUGAUCUGGUAGGUUAGUUCGAUGGUUGUUAACAAUGUUGAGAUGUUCUGGGUUUUAGAAUUUUUUUGUGAUUUUAGUUGGAU